GACAGUGGACCUACUUGGGGUGCUGAG
rnacentral:piRNA from 1 species